AGAGUUUGAUCAUGGCUCAGAGUGAACGCUAGGGGCGUACCUAACACAUGCAAGUCGUGCGAGAAACCUACCCUUCGGGGUAGGGAGUAAAGCGGCAGACGGGUGAGUAAUGCGUAGGUAACCUACCUCCGAGAGGGGGAUAACCUACCGAAAGGUGGGCUAAUACCCCAUAAGCUCACGGAUGCUACGGCAUCUGUGAGAAAAGAUGGCCUCUGCAUGCAAGCUGUCGCUCGGAGAGGGGCUUACGUCCUAUCAGCUAGUUGGUGAGGUAAUGGCUCACCAAGGCUACGACGGGUAGCCGNCCUGAGAGGGUGGUCGGCCACACUGGCACUGAGACACGGGCCAGACUCCUACGGGAGGCANCAGUGGGGAAUAUUGGNCAAUGGGCNCAANCCUGACCCAGUAACGCCCUGUGGGUGAUGAAGGCCUUCGGGUCGUAAAGCCCUGUCAGGUGGGAAGAAUAUCUAAUGGGUGAAUAGCCCAU
rnacentral:rRNA from 1 species